UGUGUUGUCAAGCUGCUAGUAUGUG
rnacentral:piRNA from 1 species